rnacentral:rRNA from 1 species
CCAGCCAUGCCGCGUGCAGGAAGAAGGUCCUCUGGAUUGUAAACUGCUUUUAUCGGGGAAGAAUAGGUCUCUUGCGAGGGAUUGUGACGGUACCCGAUGAAUAAGCCACGGCUAACUACGUGCCAGCAGCCGCGGUAAUACGUAGGUGGCAAGCGUUGUCCGGAUUUAUUGGGUUUAAAGGGUGCGUAGGUGGUUUUAUAAGUCAGUGGUGAAAGCUGGUUGCUCAACAAUCAAGUUGCCAUUGAUACUGUUAGACUUGAGAGAAGUGGAGGUUCAUGGAAUGGAUGGUGUAGCGGUGAAAUGCAUAGAUAUCAUCCAGAACGUCGAUUGCGAAGGCAGUGGGCUGUACUUUUUCUGACACUGAGGCACGAAAGCGUGGGGAUCAAACAGGAUUAGAUACCCUGGUAGUCCACGCUGUAAACGAUGCGAACUAGCUUUCGGGUUUAAGAUUCGGGGGCUAAGGGAAACCGAUAA